UACGUAGGGGGCUAGCGUUGUCCGGAUUUAUUGGGCGUAAAGAGCGUGUAGGCGGCCAGGUAGGUCUGGUGUGAAAACUCGAGGCUUAACCUCGAGAUGUCAUCGGAAACCAUCUGGCUAGAGUCCGGAAGAGGAGAGUGGAAUUCCUGGUGUAGCGGUGAAAUGCGCAGAUAUCAGGAAGAACACCCGUGGCGAAGGCGGCUCUCUGGGAUGGUACUGACGCUGAGGCGCGAAAGCGUGGGGAGCAAACAGG
rnacentral:rRNA from 1 species